rnacentral:rRNA from 1 species
CCUACGGGAGGCAGCAGUGGGGAAUUUUGGACAAUGGGCGCAAGCCUGAUCCAGCAAUGCCGCGUGCAGGAUGAAGGCCUUCGGGUUGUAAACUGCUUUUGUACGGAACGAAACAGCUCUUUCUAAUACAAGGAGCGAAUGACGGUACCGUAAGAAUAAGCACCGGCUAACUACGUGCCAGCAGCCGCGGUAAU